UACCUGUAUUAGUUCAUUAACUAUGAAUUUAUCCUAUCCUCCUAUUUAUUUCUUUGUUUAGCAUGGCUGAAUUUUGCCAUGUUCAACGUACAUGUCACGCCCUUGUUCCGAGGGACGAGACCGACACUCGACCAGGUAUCCCCAAACAAGCGUACCUGGGUGCGCUUCCUAUUCCACAUAUUACCCCACAUCUUCCAUUACAUAUUAACCAAGUGAAAUUACCAUAUAAUUAAUUUGAAACACAAAUUCAUUACAAAACAUAAACAAGGUACAUGAUUCUUAGCUUGGGUUACAUCUUACAUUUCCCAAAUAUACGAAAUACAUAUUUCAUGAGUUCAUGACCCACAUUUCCUAUCUACAGGGCCUCUAAAGAUGAAAUAAGUUAAUACAAUAUUUGCCGGUAACAAGGCUCCGAC
rnacentral:lncRNA from 1 species